GCACAGUUUAUACCGUAGCUUGCUACACCAUAGACUGUGAGUUGCGAACGGGUGAGUAACGCGUAGGUAACCUGCCUGGUAGCGGGGGAUAACUAUUGGAAACGAUAGCUAAUACCGCAUAAUAUUAAUUAUUGCAUGAUAAUUGAUUGAAAGGUGCAAUUGCACCACUACCAGAUGGACCUGCGUUGUAUUAGCUAGUAGGUGAGGUAACGGCUCACCUAGGCGACGAUACAUAGCCGACCUGAGAGGGUGAUCGGCCACACUGGGACUGAGACACGGCCCAGACUCCUACGGGAGGCAGCAGUAGGGAAUCUUCGGCAAUGGACGAAAGUCUGACCGAGCAACGCCGCGUGAGUGAAGAAGGUUUUCGGAUCGUAAAGCUCUGUUGUAAGAGAAGAACGGGUGUGAGAGUGGAAAGUUCACACUGUGACGGUAUCUUACCAGAAAGGGACGGCUAACUACGUGCCAGCAGCCGCGGUAAUACGUAGGUCCCGAGCGUUGUCCGGAUUUAUUGGGCGUAAAGCGAGCGCAGGCGGUUAGAUAAGUCUGAAGUUAAAGGCUGUGGCUUAACCAUAGUACGCUUUGGAAACUGUUUAACUUGAGUGCAGAAGGGGAGAGUGGAAUUCCAUGUGUAGCGGUGAAAUGCGUAGAUAUAUGGAGGAACACCGGUGGCGAAAGCGGCUCUCUGGUCUGUAACUGACGCUGAGGCUCGAAAGCGUGGGGAGCGAACAGGAUUAG
rnacentral:rRNA from 1 species